GUAUAACUAGGCGGAGGAGGAGAAACUAACCAGGAUUCCCUCAGUAACUGCGAGUGAAGCGGGAGAAGCUCAGACUGAAAAUCUUCGGAAUUGUAGUCUGGAGAAGUAAUGUCAGCAUAUGAUUGUGGAUGAAGUCUUCUGGAAAGGAGCGCCAUGGAGGGUGACAGCCCCGUUCAUAUCUACGAUCAGAAGCGUACGACUUGCUUUCUGCGAGUCGAGUUGUUUGGGAUUGCAGCUCUAAGUGGGUGGUAAAUUCCAUCUAAAGCUAAAUAUUGGUGGGAGACCGAUAGCGCACAAGUA
rnacentral:rRNA from 1 species